rnacentral:rRNA from 1 species
UGGGGAAUAUUGGACAAUGGGGGGAACCCUGAUCCAGCGACGCCGCGUGAGUGAAGAAGUAUUUCGGUAUGUAAAGCUCUAUCAGCAGGGAAGAAAAUGACGGUACCUGACUAAGAAGCCCCGGCUAACUACGUGCCAGCAGCCGCGGUAAUACGUAGGGGGCAAGCGUUAUCCGGAUUUACUGGGUGUAAAGGGAGCGCAGACGGCUUGGCAAGUCUGAAGUGAAAGCCCGGGGCUUAACCCCGGGACUGCUUUGGAAACUGUGAAGCUAGAGUGUCGGAGAGGUAAGUGGAAUUCCCAGUGUAGCGGUGAAAUGCGUAGAUAUUGGGAGGAACACCGGUGGCGAAGGCGGCUUACUGGACGAUAACUGACGUUGAGGCUCGAAGGCGUGGGGAGCAAACAGGAUUAGAUACCCUGGUAGUCCACGCGGUAAACGAUGAAUACUAGGUGUCGGGGGACAUAGUCUUUCGGUACCGCCGCUAACGCAUUAAGUAUUCCACCUGGGGAGUACNUUCGCAAGAAUG